rnacentral:rRNA from 1 species
AAAUUGAAGAGUUUGAUCAUGGCUCAGAUUGAACGCUGGCGGCAGGCCUAACACAUGCAAGUCGAGCGGUAGCACAGAGAGCUUGCUCUCGGGUGACGAGCGGCGGACGGGUGAGUAAUGUCUGGGAAACUGCCUGAUGGAGGGGGAUAACUACUGGAAACGGUAGCUAAUACCGCAUAACGUCGCAAGACCAAAGUGGGGGACCUUCGGGCCUCAUGCCAUCAGAUGUGCCCAGAUGGGAUUAGCUAGUAGGUGGGGUAACGGCUCACCUAGGCGACGAUCCCUAGCUGGUCUGAGAGGAUGACAGCCACACUGGAACUGAGACACGGUCCAGACUCCUACGGGAGGCAGCAGUGGGGAAUAUUGCACAAUGGGCGCAAGCCUGAUGCAGCCAUGCCGCGUGUGUGAAGAAGGCCUUCGGGUUGUAAAGCACUUUCAGCGGGGAGGAAGGCGUUAAGGUUAAUAACCUUGGCGAUUGACGUUACCCGCAGAAGAAGCACCGGCUAACUCCGUGCCAGCAGCCGCGGUAAUACGGAGGGUGCAAGCGUUAAUCGGAAUUACUGGGCGUAAAGCGCACGCAGGCGGUCUGUCAAGUCGGAUGUGAAAUCCCCGGGCUCAACCUGGGAACUGCAUUCGAAACUGGCAGGCUAGAGUCUUGUAGAGGGGGGUAGAAUUCCAGGUGUAGCGGUGAAAUGCGUAGAGAUCUGGAGGAAUACCGGUGGCGAAGGCGGCCCCCUGGACAAAGACUGACGCUCAGGUGCGAAAGCGUGGGGAGCAAACAGGAUUAGAUACCCUGGUAGUCCACGCCGUAAACGAUGUCGAUUUGGAGGUUGUGCCCUUGAGGCGUGGCUUCCGGAGCUAACGCGUUAAAUCGACCGCCUGGGGAGUACGGCCGCAAGGUUAAAACUCAAAUGAAUUGACGGGGGCCCGCACAAGCGGUGGAGCAUGUGGUUUAAUUCGAUGCAACGCGAAGAACCUUACCUGGUCUUGACAUCCACAGAACUUUCCAGAGAUGGAUUGGUGCCUUCGGGAACUGUGAGACAGGUGCUGCAUGGCUGUCGUCAGCUCGUGUUGUGAAAUGUUGGGUUAAGUCCCGCAACGAGCGCAACCCUUAUCCUUUGUUGCCAGCGGUCCGGCCGGGAACUCAAAGGAGACUGCCAGUGAUAAACUGGAGGAAGGUGGGGAUGACGUCAAGUCAUCAUGGCCCUUACGACCAGGGCUACACACGUGCUACAAUGGCAUAUACAAAGAGAAGCGACCUCGCGAGAGCAAGCGGACCUCAUAAAGUAUGUCGUAGUCCGGAUUGGAGUCUGCAACUCGACUCCAUGAAGUCGGAAUCGCUAGUAAUCGUAGAUCAGAAUGCUACGGUGAAUACGUUCCCGGGCCUUGUACACACCGCCCGUCACCAUGGGAGUGGGUUGCAAAAGAAGUAGGUAGCUUAACCUUCGGGAGGGCGCUUACCACUUUGUGAUUCAUGACUGGGGUGAAGUCGUAACAAGGUAACCGUAGGGGAACCUGCGGUUGGAUCACCUCCUUA